GUGCUCGUGGUGUAGUGGUUAUCACAUCCGCUUAACACGCGGAAGCCCCCAGGUUUGAUCCCUGGCAGGCACA
rnacentral:tRNA from 1 species